UUUUGUACGUUGUGGUGGAGUUUUUGGGAGAACACACAGUUAGUGCUGUACCGGAGAUUUGGACUGCAGAGGAUGAAGAGGGACUGUUCUGCUACUGGCCAUCAACCAACGUUUCAACAAGAAUCAAGCGAGGCGAGAUGCCGGACAAGGAGUUGUGGGGCAAGAUUGGAAUCAGAAUCUUCCCUCAUUCCUUCACCGAGUGCUAUGAGAAGGCCUUGCGGUAUGCAAAACAG